rnacentral:rRNA from 1 species
GAUGAACGCUGGCGGCGUGCCUAAUACAUGCAAGUCGAGCGAACAGACGAGGAGCUUGCUCCUUUGACGUUAGCGGCGGACGGGUGAGUAACACGUGGGUAACCUACCUAUAAGACUGGGAUAACUUCGGGAAACCGGAGCUAAUACCGGAUAAUAUUUCGAACCGCAUGGUUCGAUAGUGAAAGAUGGCUUUGCUAUCACUUAUAGAUGGACCUGCGCCGUAUUAGCUAGUUGGUAAGGUAACGGCUUACCAAGGCAACGAUAUGUAGUCGACCUGAGAGGGUGAUCGGCCUCACUCGAACUUAGACACGGUCCAGACUCCUACGGGAGGCAGCAGUAGGCAAGCUUCCGCCAUGGGCGGAAGCCUGACGGAGCAACGCCGCGUCAGUGACCACGGUCUUCGUAUCGUAAAACUCUGUUAUCAGGGAGGAAUCACCGUGUAAGUGACUGAACGCGUCUUGACGGUACCUAAGCAGAUAGCCACGGCUGACUACGUG